rnacentral:lncRNA from 1 species
GGAAUUUUAGCAUCAUCUUUUUCCUACUUUUCUAAUUUCUGCAAUUUGCAUCUGCUAUCGCUUAUCUUUUAUCGUCUAUUUGCCCAAGUAUUUUCCUAGUGCAAUUAUUACUGGUAGGUCUCAUUUGUCUUUACUUUUUCUAUACCAUUAUUAGCUUUAUUUUAUCUUUAUUGAAACACGACUCUUGAGAACUACUAGAAUGUAGAGUUUGUGUUCUACAUCACUAGAGGAGAUGUGGAAACUACUAGAAUGUAGAGGAAUCACUUGCUUCAACAAUUUCAAGUAUAAAUUUAAGACUAUGACAAGGAGGCACUAUUUGAGUGAAAUGGAAAACCACAAAAGAAAGAAUACUUAGUUUUUACUACCCUUGUAUGUAUUUUAAGCAGGGUUUCAUUUGCCCCUACAUCCUUUUUUUUCAAAAUUUUGAAUUCCUAUAGAGUGGCUCAUAGACAAUUGAUGGAUUCUUCCUCGUGGAUUUUAAUGGCUUAUUUUUUGGAUUGCCACUUACAUGGAGACGAAGCUAUUGUGAAUGUAUUUAGGAGGAUAUACAUAGUAAAUCCUACCAGUAAAGCUAAUCAUAAGGGGUUUAUGAUGUUUACUACUCGAAAGGGACAAAAGGCCAUCGUUAAUAAUACCACUAGUAACCCGCGUUUGAUGCGAGAUAAAUACAUCAAGAUCAAACAAAGUUCUGGUGGUGAGUUCCCUUCCCUUUCGCUUGGAUGAAACCUUCCAAUGAGAGAAGCACUUAGGAUCCCCUUUCAUUGAACCAAGUAGAGGAGGCUCAAUUGAAAAGGUUGUAAAUAAGUUCACCUAUAAGAUAUGAACAAGUGCACAACCUAAGGAAUGUGUGGUAAUUUUUCUGAUGGAAAAAAGUCCCAACAAUUUCGAUGAUGUGAGCUUCAAUACUCUUAAUGAAAAUCAAUUUGUUGGAAUGAAGUCCUGUAUUGAAGCUUGGCCCUAUUGGAAUAACAAGAUAAUAGCAGAGAUUCUUUUGGGAUUAUGUGAAGAGCCUAAGGAUUGGCUUUCUUCCCAUGUUCAUUGUCUCGAGUGAAAAUGAGAUUAUAAAAGUAGCAAAAGAGAAAGUAAUAGUGCUUGUAACAAUCCGUUUUUUAGUGGUGUCAAAAAUAGUGGUUUCGGGGUCACAAAUUCGACGAGUGAAUUUGUAAAUAUUAUUAUUUAAUAUUUAUGAGUCAAAUAUAGUAUUUUAAUAAAUUUUGAUUUGAUAAUUUAUGUUAUUUGAAUGAAUAGCUAAGUUCAAAUGGUUAGUCCCUUAAUCAAGUGGUUUAAAAAAAAGAAGUAUCGGAAUCUUAUUUCUAUGUGUGAACUUCAAUACUCUUAAUGAAAAUCAAUUUGUUGGAGUGAAGUCGUGUAUUGAAGCUUGGCCCCAUGGGAAUAACAACAUAAUAGCGGAGAUUCUUUUGGGAUUAUGUGAAGAGCCUAAGGAUUGGCUUUCUUCCCAUGUUCAUUGUGUGGAGUGAAAAUGAGAUUAUAAAAGUAGCAAAGGAGAAACAACAGUGCUUGUAACAACUCGUUUUUCAGUGGUGUCAAAAAUAGUGGUUUCAAUGCCACAAAUUCGACAAGUGAAUUCGUAAAUAUUAUUAUUUAAUAUUUUUUAUUAAAUAUUUUGAAGUGGUUAUAUAGUUGUAUUAAGACUUUGGUUAAGAAAUGUUAGCGUUUAAAUAGUUAAUUAGGUAAAAAAGACUAAUUUAAAAAAUAUGUAAAAGUUCAUUUCUAUUAGUAAAAAGGAUCAAAUGAUAUGAAAUCUCAAAUUAAUGGACUUAACGAGUAAUAAUACCAUAUCUUAAGUUGGUGAAUGUCUAUGGAUUGGUUUUUUGUGUAAUUUUGGUGUUUUUAAAACGUUAAAAUUGUAAAUAGGUAAAUAGAAAAAUUAAAAUUAAAAUAAAAGAUGAUAAAAUAAUAUCAUAAUCUUUUUCCUUUUACUUUUGUUGCAAAACCGAAUAGCGAUGGGUAAGGGAGAAGCAAGUUUGGUCCAAGCUUAAAUUCAUUGCAUGUAUGGUAUAUUUCUCCGUUUUUAGUAAUUUUUAUGUUUUUGAAUUCGUAUUAGUUUAAUUUAGCUAGUUCAGGGAUCAAUUUGUAAAGUUGUUAAAAUUUUAGGGACUUGCCAUGAAUGAUUUUAACGUGUUUUUGAAUUUAGUUGGUGAACUAUUAAAGUUAGUAACUAGAUAUAUAAUGACCCCUAUAGUCAGGGGUGUUGGAAAGUACAUUCUCGGGACUCUAUUCCCGUGAAUUGGACUCGUAAAUAUUUAUAUCGUAAAUAUUUUUAAUAAAUAUUUACGAAAAAAUAUUUACGAAGUUAGUUGUGUAGUUAAUUAGAUCUUGGUUAAAUGAAUUUGCAUGAAUUAAAAGUUAAUAAGUAUAAGGACUAAAUCGCGUAUAAGGUAAAAGUUGAAUUAUGAUUUAAAAAUAAUUAAAGGGAUUAAAGAAUCAAUUAUACAUUUGUUUCUUUAAGUGUAAUGAUGAUUAUAUAUAUUUAUAUGUUAACUUAUUAUUAUAUGUACAUGUUAUAUGUUUUAAUUAAAUGAAAUAAAAUUUAUAUGUAUUAGUUAUAAAAUAAUAAUUAUAAUUAUAAUAAUAGAAUAGUAAGUGGAAGCAUGCAAAAUUAAGAGAAAAAGAAGAAAGAAAAAAAUAAAGAAAGAAAUGAAGGCGAACGCACGAACAUAAAGGUUCAAAACUUUUCAAGUUUAAUUGGUUAGUCAAUUUAGUCUCUUUUCUUGUCAUUUUUAUAUUUUUGGAAUCCCAGUGUUUAGUAUUACUCGACCCAUGUUGAAAUUUUAGCAUUGAUUAAGAUUUUAAAUGUUAUUAAUGUUGAAUAGUUUUAGUAUUAGGGAUUAAAUUGAUAAAUUUUAAGCUAGAAAUGGAAAAGGAUUAAAUUGUAGAAUAAAUUGUAAAUUUUGGGUAAUAUGGAUAAAUUGUGAAAUUUUUGAAAUUUAUGGGUUUAAUUGAAAAUAGGAAGCUAAAUUUAGCUUAAAGUGAAAUUAGUAUAAAAUAUAGGACUAAAUAUGAAGAAUAAAAUUAGUUUCGGUUUAGGGACUAAAUUGGAAUUUAAACCAAUAUUGAAUAAAAAUUAAAAUAUUCAAUGUGAAAUUGAAUUGUAUUGUAUUGAUGUAUUUUAAUUGUUUUAAUUCCGUAGCUAACGUCGUACUGGAAUCCUCGACUAAAAAUGGGAAGGAUAAAAUCGACGUCAAAUAGCUCGGAAUCCACGGUUUGUAUUCCUAUAAUCUGAACCUAGUUGUUAAUUGUUGUAUUUUGAUUUAAUGCAUAUGGUAAGUGAUUGAGGUGAGUAUUUUGGCACUUUGAUAGUGAAUUGAAAUUAUAGUUGAUUAAAAUGGAUUGAAUUGGUAUAUACAUUAUAAAUGUAUUGAUUAUUUGAAUUGAAAUGAAUAUAUGUGUAAAUGUGAUAAUGUGCAAAUAUGAUAAUUGGAUAUUGGUUAUAUUUGAAAAGUGAAAUAACUGUAUCAGGCUGAGUCGAAUAUAAAUGGCAUACCAUAGGAUAGGAAAAGUUUAGAGAUUUCUUUGACUUCUAGUCGAUGAGGAACUAGGUGCCAAUUUGCUUUAGUUUAACUGAUGAGACACUGGGUGUAACACCCUUAACCCGUAUCCGUCGUCAGACUAGGGUUAAGAGGCAUUACCGGACAUAUCGAAACGUUUAACGUUCAUUUCACAGUCAUCGUAGCAUCAUAGUCAUACAUCAAUACAGAGUCUCUUACAUAAGUCAACGAGACCUUAAACAUGCUUUAGAAAGGGGUCGGGACUAAACCGAAUGCAUACAAAAUUUUUCGAAACUUAGACAUUUUUCAAAGUUAUACAGGUCACACGCCCAUGUGAACAGACCGUGUGCCUCACACGGCAUUAGACACGUCCGUGUGUCUAGACCGUGGCAAAACAGGGCAUACAUACUGACUUUACAACACGACCACAAGACACGACCGUUUGCCUUGGCCAUGGUCGAAACUGACGUGGGUUACUCGACCGAUCACACGCCCGUGUGUCUAGCUCGUGUACCCUUCGAAAUGGCCACACAUGCCCAUGUGCCAAGGCUGUGUACCUCAAAUGGCCACCAGACACGCUUGUGUGUCUAGGUCGUGCUCAAGACUGACUUGUAUAACUAAGUUACAGCAGACACAUGAUCGAGACAUACGCCCAUGUGCUCAACCGUGUGGGAUGAAAUUGGGCUUGGUUUAAGCCACAUUUCCCACCUAUCUCAAGCACAUCAAAACCACAACAUUUUUCAUCAUUUAUAGGCAACCAAUCAACCAUUUCAUACAUAAUCCAUAACAUCCAAAUACUAUCCAAUUCACUACUCAAUUCCACAACCUAAAUAUACCAAAUCAAUAUACCAAAAUCAUUACAAUUUAUAUGAGUUUCAAAUGUAUAAACUCAUCAUCUUAUCACAAUUUCAUACCAUAAAAUUUAUCAUUUCAACAUUUCAUAAUCAAACCAUCACAUAAGCAAUACUUACAUCAUAUAACCUAUUUAACAAACACACCAUUUAGGCCAACUUAAAAGGCCGUACAUAUCAACUACUACAAGCUAAAACUCAUGGCUAAUAUUCACAUCACAAAACAUACCAAAAUGACACUAGCCUAUACAUGCCAUAUACCAUAUAUACAUCUCUCAAAAUGGUACCAAAAUAGAUGUCCGAUAGUGUGAUUUAUGUCGAUGAUGAUCCCCAAAUUUGAGCUAGCUCUAUAACACUGUAAAACAGAGAACAUUUCACACAGUAAGCUUUAAAAGCUUAGUAAGUUCGUACCAAAUAUAAUCAACAGUUUAUAUAAUAUUAAACAUCAUCUAAUAAUUACUUAGUAGUUCACAAAUCAUCUCUCAAUUCUAUUCCAUCACACUUAACAUGUUCAUACAAGUUUAUCAAGCUCCAUACACAUAGUAUCAUCUACCACAUAGAUAUUAUACAUACCUGAUCUUUUCCGUAUUUAUUCAUUUCAUUCUCACCUCCCGUUCAAAUACAUUAAGUCAUUCGGAAGUCUUUCCAUGUUUUAAGAAUUCGCACACUUAGUGCAGUAAUGAUUAGCCGAAGCUAUAAAGAUAUCGCACACUUAGUGUCAUCUCAACUAACUGAAAUUAUCUCAGUAUUGCACACUUAGUGCCUCAUAUAGCCAAAGCUAUUUCAACUCGCACACUUAAUGCUAUUUAUAGCCGAAGCUGUUUGAAUCGCACACUUAGUGCCGAACAUAGUCGAUUUUUCAUCAUGUCCAAACCAAGCUCAAAUAUAGACAAUUUAUAUAUUAUAAAAACAUUAAAACAUAAAUUGUAUUAUCAUUUAUCACGUACGAACUUACCUUGUACUCAGUAUUGACGAUUAGGAUCGUUUACUCGAUAAUCUUCGAUUUUCCUCGAUUUAAAUUCGAAUUCCUCUUUUCUUGAUCUAUAUGUAUUCAAAAUUAACCCUUUUAUUCAAAAAAAAUCAUUCAAUUCAAUCCAUAUACACAUAUUUAGGGAAUUUUACCAAUUAGCCCUCACAUUUUCACAUUUUAACACUUUAGUCCAUUUUUCAUAAAAACACAAAUUACACCAAAUUUCCAUACACACUUGCUUAGCCGAAUAUACAUGGUGUUCAUGUAAGCCCACACAUUUCAUUUAUUUCACAUUUUAAUCCCUCAAAAUCUCAUUUUUACAGUUUUGCCCAAAUUACUCAAAUUCAUCAAAAAUUCAAAGACAAAACAUGUUAACCCAACAUCAAACUUCCAUAUACUAUCAUCAAACUUCAUAAAACUUAUAAUAUCAACAAUGACACAACUCAAAAUCAUCAAAAAAAUCAGAAAUUGAGACAUGGGCUUGAUAGUUUACUAAGCAACGAUCACAAAAACGUAGAAAUUAUCAAAAAUGGAGCAAAACUCAUACCUUAAUCAAAAUGAACAAGGGUCGAAUAUCAAAACCUAGCUUUGGCUUCUUCUUCUUUUAAUUUUCGGCAUGGAUGAACACAAAAAUGACUAAUUUCAUGCUUUUGUUUUAUUAAAAACAUAAUAAUUCAUCAUUUACUAAUUUGCCCUUUAUUAAUUAACAUACAAUUCAUGUUAAUUAAGGCUAUUAAUGUCCAUUAAACAUGUAAAUGGAAUAUUAACCAUAUAAGGGCCUCUCAAUUAAAGAGACAUAGAAAUUAAGCACUUUAACAAACAACAGGCAACUUUUACAUUUUACGCGAUUAGGUCCUCUUAUAAAAUUAAGCAUACAAUUGAUAAAAUUAACACAUGAAACUUUCACACAUGCUUAAACACAUACUGUAAACACGAAAAAUAAUAUUAAAAUAUUUUUUUGACUCAGAUUUGUGGUACCAAAAUCACUAUUUUGACUAGGGUCUAAAACGGGCUAUUACAAUUCUCCCUCUUAGGAAUUUUCGUCCCCGAAAAUCUUACCAGUGAAUAGGUUUGGAUAUUGUUUUCUCAUAGCAUCCUCGGGUUCCCAUGUGGCUUAUUCAACCCCAUGCUGAUGUCACAAUACUUUCACUAAUGUAAUUUUUUUAUUUCUCAACUUUUUUAUCUCACGAGCUAAGAUCUGUAUCAGUUCUUCAUCAUAAGACAUAUCAUAAUGAAUUUCAACCUCAGUCAGGGAAAUGACAUGCGAAGGAUCUAAUAUGUAUCUUCGUAGCAUCAAUACAUGAAAUACAUAUGUAUCUUUUCUAACUCAGACGGCAAUGCUAGUCGAUAAGCUACUGGUCCAAUUCACUCGAUAAUCUCAUACGGCCCGAUGAAUCUUGGACUCAAUUUUCUUUUUCUGCCGAACCGAAAUACUUUCUUCCACGGGGAUACUUUCAAAAACACUUUCUCAUUGAUAUCAAAUUCAAUGUCUUUUCUUUUCAAAUCUGCAUACGAUUUCUGACGAUCCGUGGUUGCUUUCAGACUAUCACGUAUUACUCACUUUUUUUUUCUGUUUCUCUUAUCAGAUCAACCCCGUGAAUCUUAUUCUCACUAAGCUUUGUCCAGUACAAUGGUGUUCGACAUUUUUGACUAUUUAAAGCCUCGUAAGGGGCCAUUUUGAUACUCGAUUGAAAGCUAUUAUUAUAUGCAAAUUCAAUCAAUGGCAAGUAUCGUUCCUACGUACCUUCAAACUCAAAAAUACAACAUCUCAACAUAUCCUCAAGCAUCUGAAUAAUCCGUUCAGAUUGACCAUCCAUUUGUGGGUGAAAAGUAGUGCUAAAAUGUAGUUUCGUACCUAAUGCAUCUUGCAGUUUCUUCUAAAACUGUGAUGUGAACCUCAGAUCUCUAUCCGAAACAACAAAAAUAGGUACUCCGUGCAAUCUCACAAUCUGAGAAAUAUACAGCUCAGUAAGCUUAUCAAGUGAAUAAUCUGUACGAACCGGAAUAAAAUGAGCCGAUUUAGUUAAUCUAUCAACAACAAGCCAUAUUGCAUCAUUCUUACUCGAUGUCAGAGGUAAACCCGAUACAAAAUCAUUCGUGAUUUGUCCAAUUUCCAUUCAAGAAUCAUAAUUGGUUAAAGUAACCCAAACAGAAUCUGAUGCGCAGCUUUAACUUGCUGACAAAUUAAACAUUUCGAAACAAAUUCUGAGAUAUCUCGUUUCAUACCAUGCUACCAAUAAAGCUAUUUCAGAUCAUUAUACAUUUUAGUACUUCUCGGAUGAACAGAUAGACGAUUGCUAUGAGCUUCAUUUAAAAUCAUCUGAAUUAACUCUGGAAUUCUCGGAACACAAAUCCGACCUCGGAAUCUCAAACAAUCAUUAUCAUCAACUCGGAAGUCUAAAUCAGUAUUCAAAUCACAUUGAGCUCGUUUUGCUAAUAAUUCAUUACCAACCUUCUGAGCUUCGUAAAUCUGCUGAAUAAAUAACGGUCUCGCUUUCAAUUCAGCUAAAACCAAACCAUCAAAUAUACACAACUAAGCAUUCAUAGCACAUAAUGUAAACAAUGAUUUCCAACUUAAAGCAUUAGCAACCACAUUUGCUUUUCCUGAAUGAUAAUCAAUAACAAGCUCGUAGUCUUUUAACAGUUCUAGCCAUCUUCUCUGUCGUAGAUUCAAAUCUUUCUGAGUCAUCAGAUAUUUCAAACUCUUAUGAUCUGAAUAUAGAUGACAUUUCUCACCAAACAGAUAGUGGUGCCAAAUCUUCAACGCGAACACAAUAGCUGCCAAUUCCAGAUUAUGUGUCGGAUAGUUCUUUUCAUGCGGCUUUAACUGUCUCGGUGCAUAAGCUAUGACUUUGUCUUCCUACAUCAAAACACAACCUAAACCAUUCAAAGAUUCAUCGUUAUAGAUCACAAUUUUUUUACCCGAUUUUGGUUGUACUAACAUUAGAGCUUCUGUCAAUAGAGCUUUCAACUGAUCAAAUCUUUUCUGACACUUUUUUGACCAUUCAAAUUUUCACAUCUUUCUAAAGCAAUUUUGUCAACGGAGUCGCAAUCAUAGAAAAGCCUUUUACGAACCGUCGGUAAUAACCAGCAAGUCCAAGAAAACUGCGGACUUCAGAAACAUUUCUCAGAGGUUUCUAAUCCAAAAUAGCGGAAAUCUUGCUCGGAUCAACUCGUAUACCAGAUGUUGAUACAAUAUGGCCCAGAAAACCAACUUUGUGUAACCAGAACUCACAUUUACUAAACUUCGUAGAUAACUGCUUAUCACGCAAAGUCUGUAGCACUAUUCUCAAAUAUUCGAUAUGUUCGGUUUCAUUAUGUGAAUAUAUCAAAAUGUCAUCAAUGAAUACAAAAAAAAAUCGAUCUAAAUACGGUCUAAAAAUUCUGUUCAUCAAAUCCAUAAAAACAACAGGUGCAUUUGUUAAUCCGAAAGGCAUAACUAAAAACUCAUAGUGGUCAUACGUCAUUCGAAAAGUAAUUUUCGGAAUAUCUGAAUCUUUUACUUAUAACUGAUAAUAUCCCGAUCUGAGAUCUAUCUUUGAAAACACGGUAUCUCCUUUCAGCUGAUCAAAUAAAUCAUCAAUUCGAGACAGUGGAUAUUUGUUCUUGAUAGUCACUUUGCUCAACUGACGAUAAUUAAUACAUAUUCUCAUCAUACCUCUUUCUUUUUCAUACAGAACAAGAGCACCCUAAAGUGAGAAACUCAGUCAUGCAAAUCCUCUAUUGGAAGCUUGUUGGAUUGGAAGCUCAACGGAGAUCACUCAUACUAUCCAUCGGCCCAUGUCGGUACAAUAUGGUAAAUCAAUUAUGGUUGUAAUGGCGUGUAAAUGUUAUAUUGGCCAUAUUGGCAUGUAAAUGUAAAUGAUGCUUGUAAUCUAGCCAUUGGAAUGGCUAGUAAUGAUUUGUUUUAAUAUACUUGUAAUGUGAUGCUAUGGUAGCUAUAUAUAUAUGUUAAGUAGUUGAUCAAAUCAUGUUUAACACAUGGAUUGAACUAAGGUAAGAUUGUAAACAUGUAUGCAUGCAAUGAUAUGCCAUGUUGAAUGAUGGAAAUUGAUUAAUUUGAAUGCUUGAAAUGGUUGGAAUGUGUUUG